AUUUAAUUUUGGCACCCCCCGGGCCCCCAAUUUUUUGGGGGAACCCCUUUGUGAGGGAAAAAUUUUUCCAACCCCCUCUUUUUUUUAUGGAACCGGCGGGUUUGGAUUUGGAGGUGGGGGUUUCGGGCCUAAGUCCUUUUAAAACCAUUACCUCCCCAAUAGAAUUUGGGAAUGACUCGGCGUAAAAGACUUUUCGCGGAGGAUUUUGGUCUUUGACUGGACCCGGGUAAGAUUAAAGGAAGCUACCAAUCCUCCAGGUCUAUCUUUGAGAUUAGCCUCAAAUCAGGUAGGAUACCCGCUGAACUUAAGCAUAUCAAUAACGGAGGAAAGAAACUAACAAGGAUUCCCCUAGUAGCGGCGAGCGAAGCGGGAAGAGCUCAAAUUUGUAAUCUGGCACCUUCGGUGUCCGAGUUGUAAUCUCUAGAAGUGUUUUCCGCGUUGGACCGCACACAAGUCUGUUGGAAUACAGCGGCAUAGUGGUGAUACCCCAUUACCACGGUGCGGACGCCCAGCGCUUUGUGAUACACUUUCGACGAGUCGAGUUGUUUGGGAAUGCAGCUCAAAUUGGGUGGUAAAUUCCAUCUAAAGCUAAAUAUUGGCGAGAGACCGAUAGCGAACAAGUACCGUGAGGGAAAGAUGAAAAGCACUUUGGAAAGAGAGUUAAAAGUACGUGAAAUUGUUGGAAGGGAAACGCUUGAAGUCAGACUUGCUUGCCGGGCUUGCUCGGUUUGCAGGCCAGCAUCAGUUUUCUGGGACGGAUAAUGGCAGUUAGAAUGUAGCAGUCUCGGCUGUGUUAUAGCUUUCUGCUGGAUACGUCCUGGGGGACUGAGGAACGCAGCGUGCCGUAUGGCGAGGGCUUUGGUCCUUUCACGCUUAGGAUGCUGGUGGAAUGGCUUUAAACGACCCGUCUUGAAACACGGACCAAGGAGUCUAACAUGCUUGCGAGUAUUUGGGUGUCAAACCCGGAUGCGUAAUGAAAGUGAAUGGAGGUGGGAAGCGCAAGCUGCACCAUCGACCGAUCUGGAUUUUCUAAGAUGGAUUUGAGUAAGAGCACGUAUGUUGGGACCCGAAAGAUGGUGAACUAUGCCUGAAUAGGGCGAAGCCAGAGGAAACUCUGGUGGAGGCUCGUAGCGGUUCUGACGUGCAAAUCGAUCGUCAAAUUUGGGUAUAGGGGCGAAAGACUAAUCGAACCAUCUAGUAGCUGGUUCCUGCCGAAGUUUCCCUCAGGAUAGCAGAAACUCACAUCAGUUCUAUGAGGUAAAGCGAAUGAUUAGAGGCCUUGGGGUUGAAACAACCUUAACCUAUUCUCAAACUUUAAAUGUGUAGGAAGUCCUUGCUACUUAAUUGAGCGAGGACAUGCGAAUGAGAGUUGCUAGGGGGGCCCC
rnacentral:rRNA from 1 species